CAUCGCCUGGUUCUGGUGGAUGAGAACCAAUACCCGCGGGGCAUCGUCUCCCUCUCUGACAUCCUGCAGGCCAUUGUGCUCACCCCUGCAGGUAUUGAUGCUCUUAACUCUUAGCCCACGGUGCUCCAUCUUUCUCCACUUGCACCCUCAGUUUCUCUCCACUUCAGGCAUCGAUCGAUCCUCACUCUGAAGACGCCAGGGAAAUGCCACUGUCUUGUCUGACUCGGGGAUCUCUUGCGUGACCUGUGAGAAGGAGGCUUGGGCCCGAAGGCUCUCUGUGGGGAGGACAUGCCUGUUCACCCCACUCCUCGUGCUUGUCUUGAGUCCAGGGCUAGAUCCUGCCAGUCUCGAAGAGGCAGAAACACUGAAAAUGGGACCCAGGGGUGCCUCCUUCCAGUGAGCACACAGUGAUGCUCAGUGGGCACUAUGCUGGAGGGGCUGCAACAUGCCUGCAGCUGGGCAGAGACCCAUACAGCCCCAGAGGACCUGGCCAGCCCUCUGCCAUCCUGCUGAUGGAUCUGAGUGUUUCUAUUGUGGCUCCCUCCUAGUGAACACAGUCCCACUGUCUGUGCUCGGUGCCUGGUAGCAUAGGCUCAGCUGCACGCACAGCUUUUUUAUUUUAGGGUCAUACAGGGCUGGAGCUCUCUGGCAGCGGCACAGUCUGUGCCAGAGCUGGCAGCAGGAUGGGCACUUGCAUGGAAACCCUGUGCACAUUUUGGGGUGGGCAGGGGAUAUUUAUUUAUUUGUUAGUCUGUUCAGCCUUGAUGUAACAAAACAUCCUGAUCCA